rnacentral:rRNA from 1 species
GACGAACGCUGGCGGCGUGCUUAACACAUGCAAGUCGAACGGAAAGGCCCUGCUUGCCGGGUACUCGAGUGGCGAACGGGGGAGUAACACGUGGGUGAUCUGCCCUGCACUUCGGGAUAAGCCUGGGAAACUGGGUCUAAUACCGGAUAGGAGCCAUUUUUAGUGUGAUGGUUGUAAAGUUUUUUCGGUGUAGGAUGAGCUCGCGGCCUAUCAGCUUGUUGGUGGGGUAAUGGCCUACCCAGGCGGCGACGGGUAGCCGGCCUGAGAGGGUGGACGGCCACAUUUGGGCUGGGACACGGGCCAGGCCCCUACGGGGGGCAGGAGUGGGGAAUAUUGCACAAUGGGGGCAAGCCUGAUGCAGCGACGCCGCGGGGGGGAUGACGGCCUUCGGGUUGUAAACUCCUUUCGCUAGGGACGAAGCUUUUUGUGACGGUACCUAGAUAAGAAGCACCGGCUAACUACGUG